AAAGGUUCUCUUUCUAGAGAUCCCUCCUCUGUGUAGUCUUUCCUGCAAACCUAGAUCUUUGGAAGAUCUUUGGAAGUAGUGACUCCAAAUGAAAAGGAUGAUACAUAGAGACAACGGUUCCUGGAGGACAGAAAGCUGAGGUGGCAAAUAAAAGACAAAAAGAGAAUGUGAAAAAGAAGAGAAUGGAUUUUUCCUCCAAAGAAAUCUAAUUCUAGAGAUAAAAGAAUGAAAUUCACAGACUUUGUGUCCCAGAACCAACAAAAGAAAUAAUCCCAAACUCUGAACACAUGGAAGACAAAAGGAAAUAAAUCUUGUUGGUAACAUAAUACAAACAUAAAAAGACGGAAGAAUGGGUUCCAAUCAAAAAAGGGCUGCACCAUGUAACUGAUGGCCAUCUCUGCAAACUGUAUUUCAUUAUUCCCUGUGAAAGCUUCCCUUGAUUAAGUACUGGUUGUAGCCUUCAGCAUGGGCUUAACAGCACUGUAGUGAAUAAUAUACAUAAUGUAUGUAAAAGUUAAUUUGAUACAAAGCCAUUUAAGGACUCAUUUUUUGAAAUUCCUCAAGGCAAUAAGAUGGUUACUGA